rnacentral:tRNA from 1 species
GGGUCCACAGCUCAGUGGUAGUAGCAAUUGACUGCAGAUCAAGAGGUCACCGGUUCGAUCCCGGUUGGGCCCU